UACAGAGGCGGCAAGCGUUGUUCGGAAUUAUUGGGCGUAAAGAGCACGUAGGCGGCCUUGCAAGUCAGUUGUGAAAGCCUUCCGCUUAACGGAAGAACGGCAUCUGAUACUACAGGGCUUGAGUACGGGAGGGGAGAGUGGAACUUCUGGUGGAGCGGUGAAAUGCGUAGAUAUCAGAAGGAACGCCGGCGGCGAAAGCGACUCUCUGGUCCGAAACUGACGCUGA
rnacentral:rRNA from 1 species